rnacentral:rRNA from 1 species
UACGUAGGGUGCGAGCGUUGUCCGGAAUUAUUGGGCGUAAAGGGCUCGUAGGCGGUCUGUCACGUCGGGAGUGAAAACUCAGGGCUUAACCCUGAGCCUGCUUCCGAUACGGGCAGACUAGAGGUAUGCAGGGGAGAACGGAAUUCCUGGUGUAGCGGUGAAAUGCGCAGAUAUCAGGAGGAACACCGGUGGCGAAAGCGGUUCUCUGGGCAUUACCUGACGCUGAGGAGCGAAAGUGUGGGGAGCGAACAGG